GAACCUGGCGGCAUGCCUUACACAUGCAAGUCGAACGGCAGCACGGGGGCAACCCUGGUGGCGAGUGGCGAACGGGUGAGUAAUACAUCGGAACGUGUCCUGGAGUGGGGGAUAGCCCGGCGAAAGCCGGAUUAAUACCGCAUACGCUCGGGAGAGGAAAGCGGGGGAUCUUCGGACCUCGCGCUCAAGGGGCGGCCGAUGGCGGAUUAGCUAGUUGGUGGGGUAAAGGCCUACCAAGGCGACGAUCCGUAGCUGGUCUGAGAGGACGACCAGCCACACUGGGACUGAGACACGGCCCAGACUCCUACGGGAGGCAGCAGUGGGGAAUUUUGGACAAUGGGGGCAACCCUGAUCCAGCAAUGCCGCGUGUGUGAAGAAGGCCUUCGGGUUGUAAAGCACUUUUGUCCGGAAAGAGAACGGCCUG
rnacentral:rRNA from 1 species